rnacentral:rRNA from 1 species
AACUGGAGAGUUUGAUCCUGGCUCAGGACGAACGCUGGCGGCGUGCUUAACACAUGCAAGUCGAACGGGAAGUAGCGUAGCUUGCUAUGCUACGGAUAGU